rnacentral:tRNA from 1 species
UAGCCUAGUGGUAAUGGCUAUGGAUCGCCAAUCCGGAGACGGUGGGUUCGAUUCCCGC